rnacentral:misc_RNA from 1 species
GAUGAAGAACGCAGCGAAAUGCGAAAAGUAAUGUGAAUUGCAGAAUUCAGUGAAUCAUCGAAUCUUUGAACGCACAUUGCGCCCGCCAGUAUUCUGGCGGGCAUGCCUGUCUGAGCGUCAUUUCAACCCUCACGCCCCUAGGGCGUGGUGUUGGGGAUCGGCCAAGGCCCGCAAGGGACGGCCGGCCCCUAAAUCUAGUGGCGGACCCAUCGUGGCCUCCCCUGCGAAGUAGUAAUAUAUUCCGCAUCGGAUAGCGAUGAGCCCCUGCCGUUAAACCCCCAACUCUUUCAAGGUUGACCUCAGAUCAGGUAUGAAUACCCGCUGAACUUAAGCAUAUCAAUAAGCGGAGGA